AGAGUUUGAUCAUGGCUCAAGAACGAACGCUGGCGGCAGGCCUCAAACAUGCAAGUCUAGGGGGUGUAGCAAUACAUCACCGGCGGACGGGUGCGUAACGCGUGGGAAUAUACCUAUCGAUUCGGAACAACUGAGGGAAACUUCAGCUAAUACCGAAUACGUCCUAACGGAGAAAGAUUUAUCGUCGAUAGAUUAGCCCGCGUUCGAUUAGCUAGUUGGUAGGGUAAUGGCCUACCAAGGCUACGACGCUUAGGGGAGCUGAGAGGCUGACCCCCACCGAUGGAACUGCGACACGGUCCAUACUCCUACGGGAGGCUGCAGACGAGAAUAUUCCGCAAUGGGCGAAAGCCUGACGGAGCGACGCCGCGUGAUUGAUGAAGUGCUUCGGUACGUAAAGAUCUUUUAUCGGGGACGAAGUUUAUUGACGGUACCCGAUGAAUAAGGGGCUCCUAACUCUGUG
rnacentral:rRNA from 1 species